GAAGAAGAAGAAGAAAAAGAGGAGGAAAAUAAUCUUGGUUGCAGUGGCAAAUCAUUUUUGAACACUGAAACAACCAGGAUUUCAGAAAAAAAAUGUUGUGCUCAUGUAACUACUUUGUGGUCUGUCCCUUUUUUUGUUCUUCAGUGCCCCAGCUGUAGAUUGGAGAGCCAGACUUUCGUGGUGGUAAGAGGCAGUUAUACCAACAUGGAGCUGAGUAAGGAUGAUCAGUCACACUUCCAUCCUGCUCCAGGCACUCGUCACUAGUGGACAGCUAUGCAUAGCUGAAGGGAAGGGGCAGAGUAGUUUACCAACAAACCAGCAAGGUCGUCAAUUAAGAUGUAGAACAAGACUGGACCCAGCUCUGAUGCCUGAGGAACAUCACUAGUUACAGACCUCCAACCAGACUCUGCACAGCUGAUGACAACCCUCUGAGCUCUCCCAGUCAGCCAGCUUCAGCGAAUACACCUUACUGUCCACUCAUCUAUCCCAGUUUUAUCGUUGAAAUUGAAGAGUAAGAAAGGGUCCACAGAAAUUAAGGGUAAAAGAAAAUUAGAGAUAGUUUACAGAAGCAAAUAUGCAGAGGCUGCUAGAAGAAUGGGAUAGUAACAAGAUAGGAUUAGAACAAUACAGGGGGUAAAAGAGAUAAAAAUGUGGGUUUGAGAACAGCUCAAGGGCACCAGGCGAGGAGGUGAUAAGAUGUCCACAGAGUAAGUUAGAACUGGUUCAGACGCUACCCCUCCCUCAGGGUCAGAAGUUUACAGCAAGGAAGACUACGAGCCUUUGUGGGGAAGACUACGAGCCUUCAUCCAACGACCACCAGGAGGAGACCCCCACUGCUCAUGAUGCAUGCUCGAGGGGGAG
ensembl:lncRNA